rnacentral:rRNA from 1 species
GACGAACGCUGGCGGCGUGCUUAACACAUGCAAGUCGAGCGGAGCGGCGAACGGGUGAGUAACGCGUGCGUAACUGCCCCCCUCUCUGGGAUAACAGUUGGAAACGGCUGCUAAUACCGGAUAGCGGGGGAUGAGUCGCGUCCUAUCAGCUUGUUGGGGGGGUCGUGGCCUAACAAGGCGACGACGGGGAGCCGGCCUGAGAGGGCGACCGGCCACAUUGGGCUGAGAUACGGCCCAAACUCCUACGGGAGGCAGCAGUGGGGAGUAUUGCGCAGUGGGGGAAACCCUGAUGAAGCAACGCCGCGUGCGGGAUGACGGCCUUCGGGUUGUAAACCGCUUUCAGCCAUGACGCGGUAGUGGCAGAAGAAGCACCGGCUAACUACGUGCCAGCAGCCGCGGUAAUUC